rnacentral:rRNA from 1 species
GUCCUAGCCGUAAACGAUGGGCACUAGGUGUGGGAGGUAUCGACCCCUUCCGUGCCGCAGCUAACGCAUUAAGUGCCCCGCCUGGGGAGUACGGCCGCAAGGUUGAAACUCAAAGGAAUUGACGGGGGCCCGCACAAGCGGUGGAGCAUGUGGUUUAAUUCGACGCAACGCGAAGAACCUUACCAGGGCUUGACAUCCCGCGAAUCCCGCCGAAAGACGGGAGUGCCCGCAAGGGAGCGCGGAGACAGGUGGUGCAUGGCUGUCGU